AGAGAGUGAGGCGCUAAUCGAAAUAACAAUUAAAUAAAAAAUAACAUUCCAAUAUAACCUCUUUGUAUUAUCGAAUUAAACCUCUUGUUUGUCAAAGUUUGGUUCUUCAACUCCCUAAACCCUUUUCGAUACACUCGAUCUAACAAUUCAUGCUACUAACCCAUGUAAGCCCUCUUGUUCCGGAGAUAAUAUAUGCAAAAACUUCCUAGAAACCUGAUCUCCAUUUGUUCCGUUGCUGAUGAUUUAGGCACGAAAACUACAAAAGAGAUGUAAGUCCUUAUAUAUCAAAAAAAUUCUUCUCCACCCCCUCCCCCCCCCCCCAAAAUCGUUGUUCUAUGUAAUUUAUAAAUGGUGUAUAUUUUGUAACUUUUGUGAUUUAUUUGUGAAAGAGUGGCGGGGGUUUUGCCAUUAUAAAUUCGUAUGCCAUUUUGGAAUAUCAACGAGGGGAAAAAUGGGUAAAUCACAUGUGAGAAAGUCUACUUUUCCUAAACCCAGGAAAGAUCGAAAUAAAAUCUUAAAAUUCCUUCAGAUCUGGUUAUAUAUAUUGGGAUUUGGCGAACUCGUCCUUUAUUGCAUUUUUUGGGGGAUUUGGGUUUGUAUUGUUUCCUCUUAGCAAUAAUUUACCCUACAGCUCGUGCUGAUAGGACUCUCAACUUUUUGGAUCCAAGAUUUAUGGUUGUUCUAUGUCAUGAUCGAGCUUUGGAGAAGCGUAGUGAUUUCAGUAAGAGAUACUCUUUUGGGGGUUCGCUAAUCAAGUAAGUAUAUGUUCAUCCUUUCCUGAAAAUCUUUGAGAACUAGAUGGAGACGAUGAUUCGUAAGUAUCAUAAUUUGGUACAAAUAGAGUCAUAUAGUUUGGGUGAAUCUUGAGAUUUUUGGUGCUUUCUUUACUAUAGUCUUAUUGUGCGAAUAAUCCAAUAAAUUAGAUUCUGAUAUUCUCUAGUUUGCACACCACUUUGUCAUGAUGAUGGUUGCUUCUGUAGUUUUGCAUGUUAAAAUUAAUCUCUUUAUAGCAGGAAUAGGUUGAUACUUGAUACCAUUUGGGUUGUUCGUGGGGUAGGGGAGGGGAGGUGAUGGGAAGGGAGGAAGCAACGUGCUGGAUUUUGCGAUUGAAAAUCCAGAUUUUAUUUUUCAAUAGAAAAGGUAAGAGAAAGCUUAGCAAAAGUGUAAAGUUCUAAAAUUUUUCUCUAGCUCUAUUUAAUCGGCCUUUUAAUGGUUGAUAACUUAGCUAACAGUUCAAUUUUUUUUGCCAACUAUAAAAUAUUAUUUUCUUUCUUGAUCUACUUGUUAUUUUUUAUUGCAAGUUGAUCAUACCAAAUUUUUUUAAGGUUCCAUUAUGUUCUCUUGGUGUUAUCAUUCUUUGACUUUUGUGCUGGCCAGUUAUACUAUAGUUAUUAACAGAUGUCUAUGUCUAAAUUGUCAUUGUCCUUGAUCUUUGGUGGGUGAAAUCCGUUCAUUUUGGAUCAAGUGCCAUUUUUCUACUCUUUAAAGGUCUCAUUAUUUUAGUUUAUUGCCUUGAUAAACUUGAUUCUAUAAUGUAUAUUAACGUGCUAGUGUUGAAUGAAUCUUUAUUUCACAAACAUAUAGGUCUUUUUAAGUGAGAAUACUGCAUUAGAUUUAUCAGAUCUUUACUUAAGCAUGAUAUCGAUUUAAGAAAUGUUAGAGCAAUUUACGCGCUGGCGCUAAUGGUUAGUGAAUGGUGACUCUAAUUGCUUUAACAAAAUGUAAUAUAGGUCUGAUGAAUAAUUUUUAUAAUUUGAGUAGUAGAAUACAGUAAAACACUUUCUUUCUGUCAUUAAAUUUUUUUAUCACAAUUGUAGUAGGCAGCAAUGGAGCUGAAAGAUGGUAACUUCAUGGUGGAGUUGUUCUUGUUAUUGGAGUACUAUGGGCAUAGGGUAAGCAACAUUUCAAGCCCUAUCCAUUAUUCAUUUUCUCUAUCUUAUGAAAUUUGUGAGUUCUUUCAUUUUAUUUAUAAUGUUCAUUGACUUUUGAUUCUUCUUCUUUACUGAUGCAUUAGACAUGUCAUCGUUGAAGAAUUUUUAAGCUUCGGUGUAGUGAUUUAUACACGUUCAUGAAAUAAAAAAUAUUCUGAUGAAUGUUUUGGAGAAACUGGCAAAAGAAGGGGUG
rnacentral:lncRNA from 1 species